rnacentral:sRNA from 1 species
AAAAGAAGACAGCUGUCCAUAGCAGAGGGAUCCUGGACAAGUUGACAUUUUACAGUGGAAUGCCAACUUUUAUAAGAAACUCCUCUCAUCUCUGUAGCUGUUUGAGUAACUUUUCUUAUGUGAAAAGCUGUCUGUACAACUCUCCCCAUCUUUACAGCUGUGGGAUGUCUCUAGGCCCAUUCACAGGACGCCAUAUGAACACAAAACUGUGUGGAAGUUCCUGAAAACAAUUCCAGAUUUAACCUCUCAGCUAAAUGAUAAGCAUCUGAAAACACUUAGUAAGACUGUCUUUUCUGAAACCUGGUUGAAAGGCAGCACAGUGGUUGCAAAUGAUGGAUUUUAUGUAAUACUGAAAGGCCUAGCUCGACCUCAAACAAACGUGUAUAAAAAUCUGAUUGAAGGAAGUGAUUCACCAGUCUCGUUCAUACCUCAGAGUUUCCACAGCUUCAUUUGGAGUGAAGAAUUCAAAAACUCUACACUUGCUGAGAUGUACCUACCUUCAUAUGACUCAAUGCUUAGCAAAUGGAGUACCUUUGGGACUCUGGAAGUUAUACCUGAG